UACGGAGGGCGCAAGCGUUGUUCGGAAUCAUUGGGCGUAAAGCGCGUGUAGGCGGUCUGGUCAGUCGGGUGUGAAAUACCGGAGCUCAACUCCGGAACUGCAUUCGAUACUGCCAGGCUAGAGUCCCGGAGAGGGUGGUGGAAUUCCCGGUGUAGAGGUGAAAUUCGUAGAGAUCGGGUGGAACACCAGCGGCGAAGGCGGCCACCUGGACGGUGACUGACGCUGAGACGCGAAAGAGUGGGGAGCAAACAGG
rnacentral:rRNA from 1 species